rnacentral:rRNA from 1 species
AGUGAACGCUGGCGGCGUGCUUAACACAUGCAAGUCGAACGGUAGCAGAUAGAAGCUUGCUUCUAUGCUGACGAGUGGCGCACGGGUGAGUAAUGUAUAGCUAACGUGCCCCUUAGAGGGGGAUAACAGUUGGAAACGGCUGCUAAUACCCCAUACUCCUUCUAUCUUAAUGAUAGUUGGGAAAUGUUUUUUCGCUAAGGGAUCGGGCUAUAUGGUAUCAGCUAGUUGGUGAGGUAAUGGCUCACCAAGGCAAUGACACCUAGCUGGUCUGAGAGGAUGAUCAGCCACACUGGAACUGAGACACGGUCCAGACUCCUACGGGAGGCAGCAGUGGGGAAUAUUGCACAAUGGGGGGAACCCUGAUGCAGCAACGCCGCGUGGAGGAUGACACACUUCGGUGCGUAAACUCCUUUUAUAUAGGAAGAUAAUGACGGUACUAUAUGAAUAAGCACCGGCUAACUCCGUGCCAGCCGCCGCCGUAA